rnacentral:lncRNA from 1 species
GAAAAAUUGUUAUAGGUUGCCCUUAAAAUGGUCUGGGUUCUUGCCUUCAUGUAUUAUUGACGCAUCGAUGUGCAUAUCUUUCAAAAUGGCCAUCUUCUUGUUGAAUAAUGGAAGGAGAAAUGAUGAAUGGUCACAUCUCCUACCAAGAAACCUACAGAUAAGAAGCUUAAGUAAACUAGUUAAGGAAUCUGAAUAUUGCCUAUGGACUUAAAUACAUAAAUCUCCGUUAAUUUAAUAAAAUUUUUAAAAAUUAAAGAAAUCACUAUAUUCACACAUGUAAAGAAAUAAAAAGUCUCAGUUGCAGCUAUUUGUCAAAGUUAAUAUCCAUUUCUUUUUAUAUACAGUGAAUAUUGCGCAAUUAUAGAUCUGGAUUUUGAACCACUUAAAUAAUGAAGCAACACCGGGUGUUUUGAGGUGUUGGCAUUCUUCAAUGAUUUGGCUGUUCCCAAUGUUUACAUUAUUUAAUCUUGCAAAAAUGAUCCUGUGCACUUGGAUGUGACAUGCUGUCUAGUCCGGUGUCAUCUUUUUUUUUAAUGUUGUUUAUUUUUGGAUGUACAAAAGAAAAAUUGGGGGGAGGGGGGGAUCUCUGUAGAUACUCUUGUACUUUGAAGUUACCGGAAAUGGAAC